AGAAAAAUAGGGUGGUUGUUUGGUGACCUGACACCAUUUGAAAAUGACCUUUAAUUGGGUUAGACGCAUGUCAAGGCGCAUGUCGCGGCCUUACAAGGUUCAACGUUCACAGAGAGAAGAAAAAAAGGUUGCUUAUUGAAGACGCAUUUGUUUAAAUUUCCUUGAAAUAUAUAUUAGCUUAUCUAUCUUCUUGUAGUUAUUUCUUAUAUUAUUGGUGAUGCAUGCCUUGACCAUUUUUUAGAAUUUUUUUUAUAUUAUUAGAUUUUUUUUUUUUU
rnacentral:lncRNA from 1 species